rnacentral:rRNA from 1 species
CCAUGAUACUAUCGAGCCAAGAAAAGUUUCUAAGUUUAGUAAUAAUUGCCCGUACCGUAAACCGACACAGGUGGGUGGGAUGAGUAUUCUAAGGCGCGUGGAAGAACUCUCUUUAAGGAACUCUGCAAAAUAGCACCGUAUCUUCGGUAUAAGGUGUGCCUAACUUUGUAUUAAGAUUCACUCCCAAAGCAAAGAAGGUUACAACAAAGAGUCCCUCCCGACUGUUUACCAUAAACACAGCACUCUGCUAACACGUAAGUGGAUGUAUAGGGUGUGACGCCUGCCCGGUGCUCGAAGGUUAAUUGAGAUGUUAGCUAUGCGAAGCAUUUGAUCGAGCCCGAGUAAACCGGCGGCGUAACUAUAACGGUCCU